AUUAAAGUGGCAGAAUUAUAUGCAAUGGAUUUAAGCUCCUUAAAUGAAAAUUUCCUUUAAUA
rnacentral:tRNA from 2 species